rnacentral:lncRNA from 1 species
UAGAAUGUUUACAUAUUAACAUUGCCUUGCUGCUGCAGGAGUAAUUAUCUGUUUUUUAGCGGAUUUCGGGAGAAGGUAUGCAGCAGCCAGUAUAUCCACAGCUCCCAAUAUAGACCCAUUUCAAUCACGGCUGAUGGGAAUGCAGCAAGAUCCAAUGCACCAUCAGGUCCCGCUCCCUACUAAUGGACAAAUGCCAGGUUUGGACUUCUACCUACCCCACAGUUUCCUCUAUGGCUCAGCCUGUGAUACCGCAAACACCAGCCAGUGCAGCAAACCUUCCAAUCUCCUUUCCCAGUACAGAGUGAACCACACAUACAGAAAACACAUCAGCAGGAUAUGGAGGUGGAACAGCCCUGUGUUCAGGAAGUUAAACGACAUGUUUCUGAUAACAGAAAAUCAAGAUCUAGAUCAGCGUCAAGAUCUCCAAAAAGGAGACGAUCGAGGUCUGGAUCUCGAUCUCGAAGGUCGCGUCAUCGUCGUUCUCGUUCUCGAUCCCGGGAUAGGCGCCGACACUCUCCUAGAUCUCGGUCGCAGGAAAGGCGUGAACGAGAAAAAGAGAGAGAACGCAGAUCAAAAGGUCUUCCUCAAAUCAAAUCAGAAACUGUUAGUGGUGAGUGCUCUCCUUUGAUCAUUUUACUUUGAAUGGAAAGGAGGCUUUAGUGCAAAAUGGUUCUUAUUAUAGCAUCAUUUCUCAGGUGCUCAAGAUUUUCUCUUUAAACAGCUGCAUUCUGUGAAAAGGUGAGGAAAUUUCUUUUAGCAGUUUAAGUUCUGUGAGGCUGAAGAAAUUGUUAAA